AAAUUGAAGAGUUUGAUCAUGGCUCAGAUUGAACGCUGGCGGCAGGCCUAACACAUGCAAGUCGAGCGGUAGCACAGAGAGCUUGCUCUCGGGUGACGAGCGGCGGACGGGUGAGUAAUGUCUGGGAAACUGCCUGAUGGAGGGGGGGAUAACUACUGGAAACGGUAGCUAAUACCGCAUAACGUCGCAAGACCAAAGUGGGGGACCUUCGGGCCUCAUGCCAUCAGAUGUGCCCAGAUGGGAUUAGCUAGUAGGUGGGGUAACGGCUCACCUAGGCGACGAUCCCUAGCUGGUCUGAGAGGAUGACCAGCCACACUGGAACUGAGACACGGUCCAGACUCCUACGGGAGGCAGCAGUGGGGAAUAUUGCACAAUGGGCGCAAGCCUGAUGCAGCCAUGCCGCGUGUGUGAAGAAGGCCUUCGGGUUGUAAAGCACUUUCAGCGGGGAGGAAGGCGUUAAGGUUAAUAACCUUGGCGAUUGACGUUACCCGCAGAAGAAGCACCGGCUAACUCCGUGCCAGCAGCCGCGGUAAUACGGAGGGUGCAAGCGUUAAUCGGAAUUACUGGGCGUAAAGCGCACGCAGGCGGUCUGUCAAGUCGGAUGUGAAAUCCCCGGGCUCAACCUGGGAACUGCAUUCGAAACUGGCAGGCUAGAGUCUUGUAGAGGGGGGUAGAAUUCCAGGUGUAGCGGUGAAAUGCGUAGAGAUCUGGAGGAAUACCGGUGGCGAAGGCGGCCCCCUGGACAAAGACUGACGCUCAGGUGCGAAAGCGUGGGGAGCAAACAGGAUUAGAUACCCUGGUAGUCCACGCCGUAAACGAUGUCGAUUUGGAGGUUGUGCCCUUGAGGCGUGGCUUCCGGAGCUAACGCGUUAAAUCGACCGCCUGGGGAGUACGGCCGCAAGGUUAAAACUCAAAUGAAUUGACGGGGGCCCGCACAAGCGGUGGAGCAUGUGGUUUAAUUCGAUGCAACGCGAAGAACCUUACCUGGUCUUGACAUCCACAGAACUUUCCAGAGAUGGAUUGGUGCCUUCGGGAACUGUGAGACAGGUGCUGCAUGGCUGUCGUCAGCUCGUGUUGUGAAAUGUUGGGUUAAGUCCCGCAACGAGCGCAACCCUUAUCCUUUGUUGCCAGCGGUUCGGCCGGGAACUCAAAGGAGACUGCCAGUGAUAAACUGGAGGAAGGUGGGGAUGACGUCAAGUCAUCAUGGCCCUUACGACCGGGCUACACACGUGCUACAAUGGCAUAUACAAAGAGAAGCGACCUCGCGAGAGCAAGCGGACCUCAUAAAGUAUGUCGUAGUCCGGAUUGGAGUCUGCAACUCGACUCCAUGAAGUCGGAAUCGCUAGUAAUCGUAGAUCAGAAUGCUACGGUGAAUACGUUCCCGGGCCUUGUACACACCGCCCGUCACACCAUGGGAGUGGGUUGCAAAAGAAGUAGGUAGCUUAACCUUCGGGAGCGCGCUUACCACUUUGUGAUUCAUGACUGGGGUGAAGUCGUAACAAGGUAACCGUAGGGGAACCUGCGGUUGGAUCACCUCCUUACCUUAAAGAA
rnacentral:rRNA from 1 species